rnacentral:sRNA from 1 species
UUUUAGCCCCGAUAAUAGAGGAAAUCCUUUUAUUUUUUUCUUUUAAAAAAUAAAAGAUUGUAACGGAUAGCGGGAUUAGCU